AAUUUUAUUGGAAGAACACAAGUAUUUUACAAAAUACAAGAAGCUUAAGCAGCAAAUACAUUCUAAAGACACAGAAAUGAGGAUAACCCAGGGAAACCCCACAAUAUGUCUUUUACAUGAUAUUUUCUGCAGUGAAAGGUUAUUAAUGAGCCUUUGCAGGCUAGCCUAGCACCCAUUCUUGGCAUCUAGUCCCAAACUCUAAAUAUAACAGAAGCAUGGUUUGCUCAACUAGGACAAGAUGAAAAGUAUCAAACUGAGUAGCUAAGGCCAAGGAACUCAGUCACACAGAAAACAGAAGGUGGUGGGAAGACCUCAGAGAAAAGAGGCCUGCUGCAGAGACCAACCAGCCUGAGACACUACCUUCCACCCUAUAGGAUACAGAUACAGUACAUAUACACCUUGACGUGUCCCCAUAUGUAAAAUAUUUUACACCUGGACAUGUCCCCAUGUGUAAAAUAUUUUAAAAGAUUUCUCAGGUAAGCACAAAAGCACAUAUUAUAAGAAACAAAACCAACCCAAAGUCCAAGCCAUUCCCAAAGGCACAGGACCCAAAGUCAAUUUCUGGUCAAAUGACAAAUAGCUGAUGUCACAGGCCACUCCUUGAGCUGAAGUCCUCCAGGUGAAGUUCACAGCUUUCGCAGAAGUGCUGUGAUUCUACAAAAUUGAAAAUCCUAUGGACUAAAGGUUAACCUUAUAUGUGCCAAUGCAAAUGCUAUGCAUACAUAGAAAAACCAAGGCAAAACAAUAAUACAGAGUAGUAAAUAGCAUUACCCAUUUCCCAGUGUAGAAGCAUUCUUCCCUUUCAGUUCUAAAACCUCAAGACACUUGAGGGGGAGUAUACAUCUGUAACCACGAGAGGGUCUUUUUUGUUAUUAUUUUUAAACCACUUUAUUGAGGUUAUGAAGGUAUGACUGACAUACAGAAAGCUGCACAUACUUAAUACAUACAACUUAAUGAGUCUGGAGAUAAGUAUACCUCCACGAACCAUCAUCAUAAUCUAUGCCUUAAACAUAUCCAACCCCUGUUAAGUUUCAUUCCACCCUCGCUAAUUCAUAUUAUUAUUUUUUGACAGAAGGUAGAAUAAGAUUUACUCUCAGCACAUUUUUCUAUACACAAUACUUCAAACUCUGGGCUCAGGAGGAGACACGCACGUCUUGGUUCCCAGCUUUAACUACAUCCUACAUCCCGUAGCUCAGUACCCUGACUGUACAACCUAUAAUCACUAGAGUCGAGUCUACGACAGGCCUUUCAGCAUUCAGGAAGGCUGCUAUGUCUGACUGCUGGGGCAGACUGAGCAAAUCAGAGCAUCUCCUUAGGAUUCAUUCAACAGAGCCCACUGCUGUUCUUAUCCAAACUUGAUAUGAAGCAGUACAGUAGGCCUGCACAUGAGUAAGAAGCGGGAAGGGAAGCUGAGAAGGCCAACCCAAAUCUAGACUGUGAAGGGGCCUGACUGGCGACACUCAGUAAUCCCUUUAUUGUGUCAGCUGAAGGGCUGCGAGGGCAAAUUCAAAUCCAGAGGGAUCAGAGAUCAUUCAAGCUACAUAGGAGGGCACACAUUUUGCACACUCUUUCCACCCUGUUUGACAGGGCUGUACACUAAACAUUCACAACGUGGGAUCUGAGUCCUCGCCUCCUACCACAUAUUCUAUCAGGUCCCAUGUAUCCCAAGACACAGAGAUGACAUCUCUGCCAGGUGCUCCUCUGGAGACUCAAGAAAGGGAGGAUAGGAGAGGGAAAGCCCAGCUCCACCUGCCAACACACCAGUGACAUCAGGGUAUCAGUUUACACCCUCUCAAAACAAGGUCUGUAGUUUUAAUCCUCAUUCCAAUUGAUCCUAGAGAUCCCAGAGAACUCCCCCUGAGGACAGAGGCACGGGUAAAAGCAGCCCAGAGGAUGAGCAGUCACGCAUACUGAUCACUUGUCCUUCAGGUGCUUUUGGCACGAGCUCCUCCUGAGGAAGGCCUCUGCACAGGCCUGACUUUGGCAGGGCUCCGGAAUCAGCAACUGGGAGCAGGGUGCCAAUACCCAGGAGACCAGGUGUCUCAUGGGAGCAUGUUGUAAGGGCAAAAAAAUAAGAAAAGUUAAAGAAUCCCUGUUGAAAAAAGGGAAACGGCCUCUCUUUUCCCUUAAAACAUUCACCUUGGAAAACUUAUCAGCUCUUUCUCUGCCUCUUUGCAAUGUAUGCAAAUCUUUUUCUUGAAGCUAAGUAAGCUUUUUGGUAAUGUGACAACCCAGAAUGUCCCUUUAAGGACCAGGCACCCAAACUCCUGGCAAUAAGUGAGAACUAGGUAAAGGGGGAACAACUUGAGGAGCUGAAAUCAGAAACUCACCUAGACCCUCGCAAAGAACAGGAGGAAAUGGACACCAUAAAGCAGCGCCUAAGAGUCCAUAAAGCUACAGGAAAAGGGAGGGAAAUAUGUCCGGAGAAAAACAGCAUAAGCAACAGCAGUUCCUUCUCAGAACUCCCUCAGAUUAUAGACUGUGCAAAAGUCUAGCAGGAUGAAGGGCUCCCCUGUCACAGUGGCCAUCCUUCACAGGCCUGCGGCAAUACAGAAUAAGGAUGAGACAGCAAAGUCAUCCUCUGCAGACAGAGCACGAUUCACUUGGAAAAUGGAGAAUAACCCUGUUCCGUAAGAAAUGUCUCAAAUUUACAAGAGAGCCACAUUUUUUCAUAGCAUAUUCAUCAGUGCCCAUGGUUAUCUUCUGUCCCCCAAAUAUACUGACCCAAAGGUGUGUGGGAGAAUGAAGAAAGGGGACAGGAGGAGUUCCCGUCGUGGCACAGUGGUUAACGAAUCCGACUAGGAACCAUGAGGUUGCGGGUUCGGUCCCUGCCCUUGCUCAGUGGGUUGACGAUCCGGCGUUGCCGUGAGCUGUGGUGUAGGUUGCAGACGCGGCUGGGAUCACGCGUUGCUGUGGCUCUGGCGUAGGCCGGUGGCUACAGCUCCAAUUCAACCCCUAGCCUGGGAACCUCCAUAUGCCGCGGGAGCGGCCCAAGAAAUAGCAAAAACAACAACAACAACAAAAAGACAAAAGACAAAAAAAAAAAAGAAAGAAAGAAAGGGGACAGGAGAAACAGCCCUGAAGCCACAAUGCCCCCUCACCUUGCACACCCAAAGCCUUGGGUCCUGCCCACCGGCAGCCCCCCCUUAUAUUCUCAUUACCACUUUAUUUCUCCCUAGGCUGUGGCUCCGUGUUUCAGGAAUCGAAGCUAAUCAGAAGCUUGAGAUAAGAAAACCAGAGCAGCCUCCCUGCCCCAGACUCAUCUCCUGGAUCCUCCCGCCACCCCCAAGGGCGCAGGACCACACACAGUCCCACACAUGCCACACAAACCCCCCACUGUCUUGGGAGGGCAGACAAAGGCCCCUUGAUGCAACCUCAUCUCCCCCGACAGCAAGACCAAAACGGCCCAGGGGCUAGACCAGCAGGCAUCAAGGCCUCCCAGCAGAUACACACAGAAGGAACAGCGACAGCCGGGGGGCAUAGGCCCUCUUCGGCAAGCAGAACAGGGGGGCUUCCCACACGUCCCCACUUCAGCUCCUGCACACGGACAGCACCCAUGUGACCUCUUGCUUCCAACUAACAUGCAGAGGAGUCAGCAGGAGAGGGCGGAGCGCGACAUGGAAAUGCUCUGAUGAAGCUCCAGCCACAUCCCCACACGCGCAGGUGUGGUUCCUCAGGAUCCCCUCCAGCCACUGCUAUGCACAGUGGACACUCUUCUGCUCAGCUCCUUCCUGUCACCAAGGAGUCCUGAUCACAGGCCACGCUCUGCUUCUGCCCUAGACCCAACAUCUCCCACAGCCCAGAUGCUCCAUCGCCCCUAUGUGCCUCCUGCAGGCCCCUGGCAGGGUAUCUGAGCCACGGAGUGGAAAGGGGCGUCUGGACAGGGACCCAGAAGAGCACCCCCGCACAGCGACGCACCUUCGCCAGGCUCUCUGUGCAAUUCGGCUCACAGAGUGGAGCCGUCCACGCAACCAGGCCUGACUAUUCACAAGAAAGAACCAACGUCAGCAUGGGCCUCCCAUGAGACGGCCCCAGAGUCCUGGUCUAGGCCACAAGACCGGUGGGUGAAGAGCCCCCUUUCCUGAGCCACUUGUCACAGGCCAAGGCACCACACAGCACGAGGCAGAAACACCAAGACCUUCCCCAGCAGCAAAGCCCCAAAUGCCUGGGACUCCUGGAAGAUGGGGAAACGCCUCCAUGGUAACAGCCUCCCCUUUCCCAGAAGGCCACCGAUUCUCAGGUCACCCCCGAUGAUGGGCCCCGUGCUCCGCCCACCCCAGGCAGGACUAGGGGUUGGGAAGCGGGCAGGGGCCUGGCCUGCAGUCACACAGUCCAAGACCCCUUUCACACGGAGGGCCCAGGCCCUCCAGCAGUCUGCUUUCUCCCCCUGCUCUGACAGCCUUGCUCCAGAGGGCUACCCUUCCCAGCCCCAGCCCCAGCCCCAGCAGCCCAGGGAAGGCCCGGUCGUUGCAUCUUUCCUGAUCAGGGAAGCUCUUCCCGGUCUCAGCCCCUAAUUUCUAUAGCUCUUCUCCUGAAAAGAACAGACAAUCAAAGGCGGCCGGAAAAGCAGUCAUGAAACUCAUUUAGUUCAGGAUGUAUUCUCCCAUGGAAACUGGUACAGCCACUGUCAAAAACAGUAUGAAGGUCCCUCCCCAAAACUAAAAAUAGACCUACCAUCUGAUCUAGCAAUCUCGCCUGGGGUAUAUACCCAAAGGAAUACUUUAAACCAAGAAUUUAUAAAGCAUUCAUAUUCCUACCAGUGAGCAGACAUUCACUGAGUACAUGCCUCAUGAGGCUAAGUGACAUGCCUGGCCUAGCACUGAACGCCUGGGAAAGAAGCAGCAAACCAGAUCCUAGCUCAGAUUCCGAGGAGGAUCAUCUUCUGUUUUCCUGAGAGUCCUGAUUGUGAGAAGGUCACCCAUUAGAGGAUCACCGUUUGAGAGUCCUCAACCUUGCGACUUAUUUUUAAGUGCCAAUACUCAGCAGAUUUACCCAUUAAACCAUCCAUUUAGGCCUUC
rnacentral:lncRNA from 1 species